GUCAGAGCAAAUCAGAAAGGGUUGCCAGGAGACUUGGGGAGUUACUGAUCAAGAAGUGGACGAGCAGAUCUUAAACUCCUCUGCCUUAAUGGCACCGACUAAAAUAAAUUUGAAGUGCUACAUCAAAUGCUGCGGAAAGCGCGGCAUAGCGAUCAAAAGCGGUCAAUUGGCCUCGGAGAAAAUAAUUCGCGAUUUGGAAGACCUUAACUUUGAUAAUCUAAACUUGUUGCAAUCUUCAUUCGAAGGCUAUGGCAAAUGCUCGGCCAUUUAUUAUGCUGAUGAGUGUCAACUGUAUGCCGAGGCAUUUUUCUGCAGCAAGCAGGCUGAUCCAAUGUUAACUUUGUCAGUUUACAAUAUGUAUAAAGGAGGAGG